rnacentral:lncRNA from 1 species
GGUGGUGAUUGUGGUGGUGGAGCUAAUGACAUGUGUGCAGAAACUCUUCUGAAUGGGACUUCCCUGAUCCUGUUUUUACCUGAUCUUCAUGCUCAAUAGAAAAAGCCUCAGCUUUGGAAUCAGGGCCGUCCAGGUAGCAUGGCAUGGUACUGGAACACUAUGUCUUCUCUCUGACCUCUCGGAAUAUCUCUGUGAUUCAAUGUGUUGGCCCAUUGGAGGCCCUGGACUGGUUAAAACCUGGAGGUUUGAGAAACCCCUGAUCUUCUCCAUACUCUUCACAAGGGCAAUGGCUGGCCAAGAUUACAAAUUAGUGACUGUUGAGGCUGGAAUCUGUACCGAGGUCAUGGGAACCCCCUGCACUGCCCCUUCUAAUCACCCUCCUGCUUGGACCCUGGGAGUAUGACAAAGAGUCAGAUAAGACAACUGAGGCUGAAGAUCACACAACCAGUAAAUGGAACAGCCAGAAAUCAAAUGUUAUAUAUUGGCCCUGAAGUGGGGAUAAAGCAGCUAAAAGAAAGUGUACUUUACAUUAAAUUUUAAGAUUUAUGAGACAGGCAGAAAAAUCACAAAAAGGAAAAAAAGUCAGUUUGAAGUGUGAAAUCAAGUGAAUGAAGUAAGACAGAAGCAAUAAUCUCUACAACAAAAGAUGAGAACUUGCCUCCUCUAAAUCCCAUACACACAUGGCUAUUUGUUCCAAGCUUAUGUGGAUCAUCGCUAAUUUACAAACAGUGGGUGAUGUGCUAUAAAGAAAAUGACUCAUUGGCCCAUCUGUAAUUUAAAUAUGUGACAAAAUGUUUAAAUGUUUCAAACAAUGGUUAAUUAUUAGAGACUUAACAGUUUGAAAACAAGUGUGGAGCUUUUUUUUUUUUUUUUCUGUUUUUUUGGCUUCAUUUUGAACCAGCCCAAAUGGACAUCAGGUGUUUGACUCUUCCUGAGAUGCAGUACAUAAUCUUUAAUUGGACACCUUGUUGGAAAAUAAGGAGGAAAGUAUCCAUUUUUUUUUUUUAGAAUAGCCUGGCCAACAUUUAUGUACUGAAUGCUAAUAUGUAUAAUUGAAAAAAUAAAAAAUUCUAGGUCUUACUUAAGAUUUUCAUCUACCAUGAGAAGUCUUUCAUUCAUUUUCUUAGCACAAAGACAGCCCCACUCUCUAUACAUGAAUAUGUAAAAAUAAAACUUCAAAUUACUUUCAUGUUGAUGUUUAUGUAACCUGUAUCUUUAGUGACACAAAAAGAAGAGAUUUUAUUGAACAAUAGUUAUAAGACCCUUUCCUCUUAAUCUCCAGUUAAGCACAUAUUAUUUAACUGAUUCUUUCAAAAGACAAACAAAAUGAAAGAAUGAAUGUUAGUUGCUUUUUAAUUAACGCAAAACAAAGGUUGAGCAGUGAAAAGUGCAUCCAGUUAACUGACUGUUGAGUUUACACAACUUCAACCAAGAAGUCCCUUAACAGAAAGGAAGGGUUUUGGAGGGAGGCAGAGAUUGAUCUCUAACAUACAGAAUCUAAAUGAAAUUAGUUAUUUGGUCAAGGUGAAAGAGAAUAAAACAAUAACUAAAACAAAGACCUAAGAUAAAAUAACAAGAAAAUAAAAUUUUAAGUAAAAGUUGGUGCUAUUUUUCUCCUUUAAAAGGAAAAUCAUUUUCAAAUGCACAUGCUGAUCUCAAAUAAAUGUUUUGCUAGUCUAUUUAGUUCAAUUCUGCAAACUGCUUCAGAUUGAAAUGUAUGUUGAAACCUAAAACUGAUUUGUUCCAUGUAAAUCACAUUUAAAACUUCUUCAGCUAAAGGUAUUACCAGUAAAGCUAUUAACUUGAGUAUGAGCUCUUUCUUUAGAUCUCCAAACCUGCUAAAUC